AUUGAACGCUGGCGGCAUGCCUUACACAUGCAAGUCGAACGGCAGCACGGGAGCAAUCCUGGUGGCGAGUGGCGAACGGGUGAGUAAUACAUCGGAACGUGCCCGAAUAGGUGGGGGAGUAGCCCGGCGAAAGCCGGAUUAAUACCGCAUACGACCGUACGGGUGAAAGCGGGGGAUCGCAAGACCUCGCGCGUACUGGAGCGGCCGAUGUCGGAUUAGCUAGUUGGUGGGGUAAAGGCCUACCAAGGCUACGA
rnacentral:rRNA from 1 species